rnacentral:lncRNA from 1 species
AAUAACAACCAUAUAGUCAUAAUAGGAUCUCACUCCUCAAAUUCACAACACUCAAAGAAAAGAAACGAUGGGUAGAAGCUUUCAAAUUUUUGUCAUUCUUGUGAUGGUUGUUUUCAUCUUUAAAGGUAAACUUUCGCGGUACAUAUUAUAGUUCGGUUUUCUCUAUUUACAACUAUUGGUGUAGAAAAUAUAAGGAAAAAUUACAAUAUAAUUCCUGUAAUUUGCGAAAUAUAAUUAAUUUAUUCAUAUCUUUUAGAAAAUAGAUUAAAAUAUCUUUAUAGUUUGCUUCCGUCAUCAAUCAAAAUUUUGGAUCUUUUUUGUUAAGUAACUUAUGAAAUGAUUAAAAUAUCACUUUUAUUUUUAAAAAUACAGAGACGGACUAGUUGUAUUUUGCAAAGCACAGGGAUCGCACUGUAAUUUUUUCAAAAUAUAAUUAUUCUUAUCACUUAAUUUAGGAGCAUAUCAAUUACUUAACAAAAUUAUCGAUUUGUAGAAGAUUAUUUUUUUCCUGUAUUUAUACUUUAUAUUGAAGAAAAUAAUUAAUUAUAUUAAAUAAAUUUGAUGGUUACAGGAAAUGAAGUGUUUGCAGCAACUAGACGCGUCUGUGCAAAGCAAUAUCCUCUUCGUAAUUGCACCGAUAAAUCAUGUAAUGAUUUGUGCGAGAAGAAUCAUGGCAAUUCUCGUGGGUUUUGCGCAUAUAAUGGUCCAUUAUACUGUGGCUGUUUAUAUCCCUGUGGAAAUGAGGAAAAUUUAAAAUAUUAAGUUCGAAGGGGCUAAAGUCUAAAUAAAAAGUUUUGAGAGGAUAUAUUUGUAUAACAAUAAUUUACAAUUUCAAUCCACCCUCAAAACUCUUUCCAGUUUUUGCCCCUUAUUUGUCUGUUAUUGUGAUAGAAAGAAGUAAUUCAAUUCAAUAAUAUUUAAAA